UACGUAGGGUGCGAGCGUUGUCCGGAAUUAUUGGGCGUAAAGAGCUUGUAGGCGGUUUGUCGCGUCCGCCGUGAAAAUCCGAGGCUCAACCUCGGACUUGCGGUGGGUACGGGCAGACUAGAGUGUGGUAGGGGAGACUGGAAUUCCUGGUGUAGCGGUGAAAUGCGCAGAUAUCAGGAGGAACACCGAUGGCGAAGGCAGGUCUCUGGGCCACUACUGACGCUGAGAAGCGAAAGCAUGGGGAGCGAACAGG
rnacentral:rRNA from 1 species